AGAGUUUGAUCCUGGCUCAGGAUGAACGCUGGCGGCAUGCCUAAUACAUGCAAGUCGAACGAGGGUCCUUCGGGACUCGAGUGGCGAACGGGUGAGUAACACGUAGGGAACCUGCCCGUGCGACCGGGAGAACUUUCGGAAACGGAAGCUGAUACCGGAUAGGGACAGAGACGGCAUCGACUCUGUGUUAAAGGAGCUGAAAGGCUCCGCGCACGGAUGGACCUGCGGUGCAUUAGCUGGUUGGUGAGGUAACGGCCCACCAAGGCGACGAUGCAUAGCCGGCCUGAGAGGGCGGACGGCCACACUGGGACUGAGACACGGCCCAGACUCCUACGGGAGGCAGCAGUAGGGAAUUUUCGUCAAUGGGCGCAAGCCUGAACGAGCAAUGCCGCGUGAACGAGGAAGGUCUUCGGAUCGUAAAGUUCUGUUGAAGGGGAAAAAGAGCGGAGAGAGGAAAUGGUCUCCGAUUGAUAUUACCCUUCGAGGAAGUCACGGCUAACUACGUGCCAGCAGCCGCGGUAAUACGUAGGUGGCGAGCGUUAUCCGGAAUGAUUGGGCGUAAAGGGUGCGUAGGCGGCCUGCUAAGUCUGGAGUGAAAGGUACCGGCUCAACCGGUACAGGCUCUGGAAACUGGCGGGCUAGAGAGCAGGAGAGGGCGGUGGAACUCCAUGUGUAGCGGUAAAAUGCGUAGAUAUAUGGAAGAACACCAGUGGCGAAGGCGGCCGCCUGGCCUGUUACUGACGCUGAGGCACGAAAGCGUGGGGAGCAAAUAGGAUUAGAUACCCUAGUAGUCCACGCCGUAAACGAUGAGGACCAAGUGUUGGGGGAAGACCCAGUGCUGCAGUUAACGCAGUGAGUCCUCCGCCUGGGGAGUAUGCACGCAAGUGUGAAACUCAAAGGAAUUGACGGGGGCCCGCACAAGCGGUGGAGUAUGUGGUUUAAUUCGAAGCAACGCGAAGAACCUUACCAGGCCUUGACAUAGGGUGCGAAGCUAUGGAGACAUAGUGGAGGUAAACAUCCAUACAGGUGGUGCAUGGUUGUCGUCAGCUCGUGUCGUGAGAUGUUCAGUUAAGUCUGGCAACGAGCGCAACCCUCGUGAUGUGUUACCAAUAUCGAGUUAGGGACUCACAUCAGACUGCCGGUGAGAAACCGGAGGAAGGCGGGGAGGACGUCAAAUCAUCAUGCCCCUUAUGGCCUGGGCUACACACGUACUACAAUGGCGGCGACAGAGGGCAGCGAGCCUGCGAAGGCAAGCGAAUCCCCAAAAAGCCGUCCCAGUUCGGAUUGGAGUCUGCAACCCGACUCCAUGAAGUUGGAAUCGCUAGUAAUCGCGGAUCAGCAUGCCGCGGUGAAUACGUUCUCGGGCCUUGCACACACCGCCCGUCAA
rnacentral:rRNA from 1 species